AUGGUUAUUAGAAGAAUUAGUGGAGUGAUUAGAGACAAAGAGGAUUGGUUAGAAUGGAACUAAAUGGCAUUGUUGUAAAUAAGGUUAAGUUGGAAGGCAUCAUGGACUUAUCUAAUGCUUGCAUGUGGACAUAAAGGACAUUAGAUUUAAUUGCAUGAACUUAGGGGGUUGUUUGGCUUGCAAAUCAGAAUUUGGAAACAAGAAAGGAAGAAGAACUCAUGAAGCAAGUUCCAUUUUCGCAACUAUUGGUACAGCUCCACUAAAUCAGCUUCUGUUUUGGAGGAGAAAACUGACCUUGAAGUUGUGUCAGUUAUGCUGAAUGUGUGUUAUGGAGAGCUACGAAUUUCUUGCUAAUGGAGAUGGAAGUUUGAGUAAGAUAAGAGUUCAAAGGCUGCAUUAACACCAUCUAAACCUCUAUUAAUCCAAGGUGCAGUUUAGUAGCUUUUGAUAGAUAGCAGGUUCGGAUUUAUGGCUUGAAGUGGUGUUGGCUCGAAGACCUCGUCAGAUCUCUCUUUCCGCUGUUCAGAUCCAUUGAAGACAUAUGUUUUGAAAUUCUUGUUAGAAUUUCAUGUUGUAUUGUAUUAUGGAUCUUUCUAUAUCUAUAGCUUUUGUAUGUAUUCAAUAUCAAUUUUAAUGUUUCAUGCAUAAUAUACUAGUCAAUUAUGUAUGGGCUGUUACAGUUGGUAUCAGAGCUGGUUGA